rnacentral:rRNA from 1 species
GUUCCCUUCGGGGAGCGAGUAGAGUGGCGCACGGGUGAGUAACACGUAGGUAAUCUACCUUUGGAUGGGGAAUAACAACCGGAAACGGUUGCUAAUACCGCAUAAUGCAGCGGCACCUAAUGGUGACAGUUGUUAAAGCGGGGGAUCGCAAGACCUCGCGUCUGAAGAGGAGCCUGCGGCAGAUUAGCUAGUUGGUAAGGUAACGGCUUACCAAGGCGAUGAUCUGUAGCCGGCCUGAGAGGGCGGUCGGCCACACUGACACUGACAUACGGGUCAGACUCCUACGGGAGGCAGCAGUCGGGAAUUUUGGGCAAUGGGCGAAAGCCUGACCCAGCAACGCCGCGUGAAGGAUGAAAUCCUUCGGGAUGUAAACUUCGCAAGAACGGGAAGAAUAAGUAAGGGUUAAUAUCCCUUACGAUGACGGUACUGUUUGUAAGCUCCGGCUAACUCCGUGCCAGCAGCCGCGGUAAUACGGGGGGAGCAAGCGUUGUUCGGAUUUACUGGGCGUAAAGGGCGCGUAGGCGGCCUCUGCAAGUCGACUGUGAAAUCUCCGGGCUUAACCCGGAACGGUCAGCCGAUACUGCAGGGCUAGAGUGCAGAAGGGGCAACUGGAAUUCUCGGUGUAGCGGUGAAAUGCGUAGAUAUCGAGAGGAACACCUGCGGCGAAGGCGGGUUGCUGGGCUGACACUGACGCUGAGGCGCGAAAGCUAGGGGAGCGAACGGGAUUAGAUACCCCGGUAGUCCUAGCCUUAAACGAUGAAUGCUUGGUGUCUGGGGUUUUAUAGUCCCCGGGUGCCGUCGCUAACGCUUUAAGCAUUCCGCCUGGGGAGUACGGUCGCAAGACUGAAACUC